GUUUCUGAAACUUCUUGAAAUCAAUGUUCUGUUGCAAUCUGUUGGAGAUUCUGAGAUGCUGGUACCGUAGGUUUGGGUUCCGAUAUUUGUGCGUCGAAAUUAAGGUUGUUAUUGAACCACCGGAGCUUCGGGGAGUGCCGGAGCUGCCGCCUGAUCGGUUCAGAGGGUCACUGCUGCUUUGUUUCUCGUGAAAAGUGUUGUUGCCGCGAUUCUUGAUGCCGCUGUUGAUAUUGUCUGAAAAUAAACAAGGUUGCUGCCGCUGUUGUAAAAUUGAAAAUAAACAAAAGAGGAAUUGAUGAGUCUAACUACUGAGCUUUGACUAAAUCGAGGAACCGAAUGAAGAAGCAUUAAGAAGAGUCCUACUGAGUUUGGUUUAUAUAUUGUUGUGUUAAUUAGAUUAUUUUCUUCCCUCGUCUUUGUUAUUACAAGUUUGUAAGAGGGACAGAAAUUGUAUGUUUUAUAUGUAUAUUAUAUUAUGAGUUAUUAUGUAAGGAGUCUUGUAUAUGAAUAUAUGCCUGUUUGUAUUUUUCUU